AGAGUUUGAUCCUGGCUCAGGAUGAACGCUGGCGGCGUGCCUAAUACAUGCAAGUCGAGCGAACGGACGAGAAGCUUGCUUCUCUGAUGUUAGCGGCGGACGGGUGAGUAACACGUGGAUAACCUACCUAUAAGACUGGGAUAACUUCGGGAAACCGGAGCUAAUACCGGAUAAUAUUUUGAACCGCAUGGUUCAAAAGUGAAAGACGGUCUUGCUGUCACUUAUAGAUGGAUCCGCGCUGCAUUAGCUAGUUGGUAAGGUAACGGCUUACCAAGGCAACGAUGCAUAGCCGACCUGAGAGGGUGAUCGGCCACACUGGAACUGAGACACGGUCCAGACUCCUACGGGAGGCAGCAGUAGGGAAUCUUCCGCAAUGGGCGAAAGCCUGACGGAGCAACGCCGCGUGAGUGAUGAAGGUCUUCGGAUCGUAAAACUCUGUUAUUAGGGAAGAACAUAUGUGUAAGUAACUGUGCACAUCUUGACGGUACCUAAUCAGAAAGCCACGGCUAACUACGUGCCAGCAGCCGCGGUAAUACGUAGGUGGCAAGCGUUAUCCGGAAUUAUUGGGCGUAAAGCGCGCGUAGGCGGUUUUUUAAGUCUGAUGUGAAAGCCCACGGCUCAACCGUGGAGGGUCAUUGGAAACUGGAAAACUUGAGUGCAGAAGAGGAAAGUGGAAUUCCAUGUGUAGCGGUGAAAUGCGCAGAGAUAUGGAGGAACACCAGUGGCGAAGGCGACUUUCUGGUCUGUAACUGACGCUGAUGUGCGAAAGCGUGGGGAUCAAACAGGAUUAGAUACCCUGGUAGUCCACGCCGUAAACGAUGAGUGCUAAGUGUUAGGGGGUUUCCGCCCCUUAGUGCUGCAGCUAACGCAUUAAGCACUCCGCCUGGGGAGUACGACCGCAAGGUUGAAACUCAAAGGAAUUGACGGGGACCCGCACAAGCGGUGGAGCAUGUGGUUUAAUUCGAAGCAACGCGAAGAACCUUACCAAAUCUUGACAUCCUUUGACAACUCUAGAGAUAGAGCCUUCCCCUUCGGGGGACAAAGUGACAGGUGGUGCAUGGUUGUCGUCAGCUCGUGUCGUGAGAUGUUGGGUUAAGUCCCGCAACGAGCGCAACCCUUAAGCUUAGUUGCCAUCAUUAAGUUGGGCACUCUAAGUUGACUGCCGGUGACAAACCGGAGGAAGGUGGGGAUGACGUCAAAUCAUCAUGCCCCUUAUGAUUUGGGCUACACACGUGCUACAAUGGACAAUACAAAGGGCAGCGAAACCGCGAGGUCAAGCAAAUCCCAUAAAGUUGUUCUCAGUUCGGAUUGUAGUCUGCAACUCGACUACAUGAAGCUGGAAUCGCUAGUAAUCGUAGAUCAGCAUGCUACGGUGAAUACGUUCCCGGGUCUUGUACACACCGCCCGUCACACCACGAGAGUUUGUAACACCCGAAGC
rnacentral:rRNA from 1 species